rnacentral:rRNA from 1 species
GACGAACGCUGGCGGCGUGCUUAACACAUGCAAGUCGAACGGGUCUGCCCUGUUUUUUGCGGGGUGGGUCAGUGGCGAACGGGUGGGUAACACGUGAGUAACCUGCCCCUCACUUCUGGAUAACCGCUUGAAAGGGUGGCUAAUACGGGGUGUUCUGGCUGUGCCGCAUGGUGUGGCUGGGAAAGAUUCACUUUUGUGGUGUUUUGGUGGGGGAUGGGCUCGCGGCCUAUCAGCUUGUUGGUGGGGUGAUGACCUGCCAAGGCUUUGACGGGUAGCCGGCCUGAGAGGGUGGGCGGUCACACUGGGACUGAGAUACGGCCCAGACUCCUGCGGGAGGCAGCAGUGGGGGGUAUUGCACAAUGGGCGGAAGCCUGAUGCAGCGACGUCGCGUGAGGGAUGGAGGCCUUCGGGUUGUGAACCUCUUUCGCCGGUGAAGAAGGUCCUGCUCUUUGUGGUGGGGUUGACGGUAGCCGGGUUAUGAAGCGCCGGCUAACUACGUG